rnacentral:rRNA from 1 species
CCUACGUGAGGCUGCAGUGGGGAAUAUUGCACAAUGGGGGAAACCCUGAUGCAGCGACGCCGCGUGAGUGAAGAAGUAAUUCGUUAUGUAAAGCUCUAUCAGCAGGGAAGAAAAUGACGGUACCUGAGUAAGAAGCCCCGGCUAACUACGUGCCAGCAGCCGCGGUAAUACGUAGGGGGCAAGCGUUAUCCGGAUUUACUGGGUGUAAAGGGAGCGUAGACGGCAGUGCAAGUCUGGAGUGAAAGGCGGGGGCUCAACCCCCGGACUGCUCUGGAAACUGUACGGCUGGAGUGCAGGAGAGGUAAGUGGAAUUCCUAGUGUAGCGGUGAAAUGCGUAGAUAUUAGGAGGAAUACCAGUGGCGAAGGCGGCUUACUGGACUGUAACUGACGUUGAGGCUCGAAAGCGUGGGGAGCAAACAGGAUUAGAUACCCUAGUAGUC